rnacentral:rRNA from 1 species
GAUCCUGCGUCAGGAGACGCUGGCGGCGUAGCCUAAUACAUGCAAGUCGAGCGGAUGAAGAAGAGCUUGCUCUUUGGAUUCAGCGGCGGACGGGUGAGUAACACGUGGGCAACCUGCCUGUAAGACUGGGAUAACUUCGGGAAACCGGAGCUAAUACCGGAUAAAAACUUUCUUCACAUGAAGGAAGGAUAAAAGACGGUUUUGCUGUCACUUACAGAUGGGCCCGCGGCGCAUUAGCUAGUUGGUGGGGGUAAUGGCUCACCAAGGCAACGAUGCGUAGCCGACCUGAGAGGGUGAUCGGCCACACUGGGACUGAGACACGGCCCAGACUCCUACGGGAGGCAGCAGUAGGGAAUCUUCCGCAAUGGACGAAAGUCUGACGGAGCAACGCCGCGUGAACGAUGAAGGUUUUCGGAUCGUAAAGUUCUGUUAUCAGGGAAGAACAAGUAUCGGAGUAACUGCCGGUACCUUGACGGUACCUGACCAGAAAGCCACGGCUAACUACGUG